rnacentral:tRNA from 1 species
UGCGGUGUAGAGAAGCGGCUAUCUCACAAGCCUCAUAAGCUUGGAAUCGGAGGUUCGAGUCCUCCCACUCGCAACCA